rnacentral:rRNA from 1 species
GACGAACGCUGGCGGCGUGCUUAACACAUGCAAGUCAAGGGGGCCCAGUAGCAAUACUGGGCAACCGGCGAACGGGUGCGUAACACGUGAGCAACCUACCGAAAUGUGGGGGAUAGCCGGCCUAACGGCCGAGUAAUACCGCAUACGCUCUCGAUGAGGCAUUUCAUUGAGAGGAAACCUACGGGACAUUUCGAGGGGCUCGCGGCCUAUCAGCUAGUUGGCGAGGAACGGCUCACCAAGGCAACGACGGGUAGCUGGUCUGAGAGGAUGGCCAGCCACAUUGGGACUGAGAUACGGCCCAGACUCCUACGGGAGGCAGCAGUGGGGAAUCUUGCGCAAUGGCCUAACGGCUGACGCAGCGACGCCGCGUGUAGGAUGAAGCUCUUCGGAGUGUAAACUACUGUUGCCCGGGACGAAUAGCUCGAUUAAUCGAGCCUGACGGUACCGGGUGA